GCGCCCGUAGUUCAGCGGAUUAGAACGCAACGCUACGAACGUUGAGGUCGGGGGUUCGAUCCCCUCCGGGCGUGCCA
rnacentral:tRNA from 1 species